UCCUCUACCUGCUGGGGACAGAUGAAGUGGAUAUGCGCAUCGAUGCCGCCGGCGGUCAGGAUCCUGCCCUCGCCGGCGAUGAUCUCGGUGCCGGGGCCGAUGACGAUCUCCACGCCGGGCUGGGUGUCGGGGUUGCCCGCCUUGCCGAUGGCGGCGAUCCGUCCGGCCCGGAUGCCCACGUCCGCCUUGACGAUGCCCCACCAGUCGAGGAUCAGGGCGUUGGUGAUCACGGUGUCCAUCACGCCGUCGUCAUGGCGCUGGCUCUGGCCCAUGCCAUCGCGGA
rfam:Halomonas sp. PBN3 contig22, whole genome shotgun sequence.